rnacentral:rRNA from 1 species
GAUGAACGCUGACAGAAUGCUUAACACAUGCAAGUCAACUGUGGCGGACGGGUGAGUAUCGCGUACAGAACUUGCCUCACAGCUAGGGACAACAUUUGGAAACGAAUGCUAAUACCUGAUACUGUGAGAGAGCUUUGCGUCCCGUUAGCUAGUUGGUGAGGUAACGGCUCACCAAGGCGAUGAUGGGUAGCCGGCCGGAGAGGGUGAUCGGCCACAAGGGGACUGAGAGACAGCCCUUACUACUACGGGGGGAAGCAGUGGAGAAUAAUGGACAAUGGACCAGAGUCUGAGACGGCAAUUCUGUGGGAAAGAUGAGGUUUUCGGAAUAUAAAGUGCUUUAAGUUGGGAAGCGGUACCAACAGAAGAAGUGACGGCUAAAUACGUGCCAGCAGCCGCGGUAAUUC